rnacentral:rRNA from 1 species
UUGGAGGGCAAGUCUGGUGCCAGCAGCCGCGGUAAUUCCAGCUCCAAUAGCGUAUAUUAAAGUUGUUGCAGUUAAAAAGCUCGUAGUUGAAUUUCGGGAUCAGUACGUUGGUCGUGCCUUAGGUACGUACUGGUGUUACUGGUUCCUACCUUCUGACGAACCAUCAUGUCAUUCAUUUGGUGUGGCGGGGAAUCAGGACUGUUACUUUGAAAAAAUUAGAGUGUUUAAAGCAGGCUCGCGCUUGAAUACAUUAGCAUGGAAUAAUGAAAUAGGACGUUGAUCCUAUUUUGUUGGUUUCUAGGAUUGACGUAAUGAUUAAUAGGGAUAGUUGGGGGCAUUAGUAUUCAAUUGUCAGAGGUGAAAUUCUUGGAUUUAUUGAAGACUAACUACUGCGAAAGCAUUUGCCAAGGAUGUUUUCAUUAAUCAAGAACGAAAGUUAGGGGAUCGAAGACGAUCAGAUACCGUCGUAGUCUUAACCAUAAACUAUGCCGACUAGGGAUCGGAUGAUGUUAUUUUUAAUGACUCAUUCGGCGCCUUACGGGAAAC